UGUAAGAUCGGGAUAACUACCGGAAACGGUAGCUAAGACCGGAUAGCUGGUUUUCGGUGCAUGCCGGAAUCAUGAAACACGGGGCAACCUGUGGCUUACAGAUGGGCCUGCGGCGCAUUAGCUAGUUGGCGGGGUAAUGGCCCACCAAGGCGACGAUGCGUAGCCGACCUGAGAGGGUGAUCGGCCACACUGGGACUGAGACACGGCCCAGACUCCUACGGGAGGCAGCAGUAGGGAAUCUUCCGCAAUGGGCGCAAGCCUGACGGAGCAACGCCGCGUGAGUGAUGAAGGUUUUCGGAUCGUAAAGCUCUGUUGCCAGGGAAGAACGUCGUGGAGAGUAACUGCUCUGCGAAUGACGGUACCUGAGAAGAAAGCCCCGGCUAACUACGUGCCAGCAGCCGCGGUAAUACGUAGGGGGCAAGCGUUGUCCGGAAUUAUUGGGCGUAAAGCGCGCGCAGGCGGUCUUUUAAGUCUGGUGUUUAAGCCCGGGGCUCAACCCCGGUUCGCACCGGAAACUGGAAGACUUGAGUGCAGGAGAGGAAAGCGGAAUUCCACGUGUAGCGGUGAAAUGCGUAGAGAUGUGGAGGAACACCAGUGGCGAAGGCGGCUUUUUGUUUUUGUAACUGAAGGUUAAGGCCCCACACCAGCAU
rnacentral:rRNA from 1 species